UAAAUUGAAAUCCAAUUCUGGGUUCUGCUUUUAGAGGACACAUCCAAAUGAAUUAACAGAGAAGCUAUGGAUAUAAUGAUAAUUUGAGAAACUGCUGGCACAGCUCUACUAUGAUCUGACAAGAAUUCUUUACCCAAGCCUUCCCCACUCUGGUGACCACCAGAUUUACAAGCUGUCUGUGGAUGACAGACAUUGCAGGCCAACCCAUCUGGAGGGUAUUUUGUUGGGAGGAUGCCACCUUACUGUCACCUAUUUAACUAAAGAAUUACCUGUAUUUUAAAUGUAGAACACAUAAACUUAUAAAUUCACGAUACUAAGAAAUGUAUGAUCUCUUCAAAGAAUGAAUCAACAGUAUCAGCAUCUAGAUAUUUUUUGCUUCCUACAUCUCUCUAUUUGUAUUUCACUAGCUUCCACCUAAUGCAGAUUCUUUAUAAAUUUAUUCUUUAAGCAAUCUGACAGCCAAGAAGAUAGAAACAUGACCCAUACCCUUUUCAUUUUGUUUAUGGGUAUAUCCUUCUUAGAGUGAUGGUUAAGAAAAUGGAAACAUACCAUCCACAGAAUGAAUGCAGCAUGUGAAAACCUUUUCUGACCUGUACUACUAAAAGGGGAAGUAUUUAUUAUUAUGUAUUGUGGGACUGAAAGAAAUGCCUCUGAAGACUGGUUCUGUAUUCUCUUAAUGAGUCUCUGAAGUGUCCAAGAUCUGUCUUGGAGAGGUCUUUUCAAGAGGUUUGCUGUAAAUGGUGACAGCUAUCACAGAGAGUCAUGACAUUGUUCUUCACUGAAGAUUAUUUCAGCCUUAACUGGGAAGUAUUUAUUUCACAUAGAUUUCACACUUUCUGUUAGUAAAAUCUCUUUUUAGGUGGGUUAAAAACAUCAUCAUCCACAUUUCUGAAACUGGCAUGUAUUGUUUAUUAUUACUUUUCCUUAUCUUUUUCAUUUUCUGGCCGGAACUAAAACAGUUAAAAAUAAAACCACAUUUAAAAAAAAAAA